GAGUUUGAUCAUGGCUCAGGACGAACGCUGGCGGCGUGCUUAACACAUGCAAGUCGAACGAACCUUCGGGUUAGUGGCGGACGGGUGAGUAACGCGUGAGAAUCUGCCCUCAGGAGGGGGAUAACAGCUGGAAACGGCUGCUAAUACCCCAUAUGCCGCGAGGUGAAAUGAAUUUCGCCUGAGGAUGAGCUCGCGUCUGAUUAGCUAGUUGGUGUAGGUAAAGGCUCACCAAGGCGACGAUGGGUAGGGGGCCUGAGAGGGUGAUCCCCCACACUGGUACUGAGACACGGCCCAGACUCCUACGGGAGGCAGCAGUGGGGAAUUUUCCGCAAUGGGCGAAAGCCUGACGGAGCAACGCCGCGUGAGGGAUGAAGGCCUCUGGGCUGUAAACCUCUUUUCUCAAGGAAGAAGAUCUGACGGUACUUGAGGAAUAAGCCACGGCUAAUUCCGUGCCAGCAGCCGCGGUAAUACGGGAGUGGCAAGCGUUAUCCGGAAUUAUUGGGCGUAAAGCGUCCGCAGGCGGCCCUUCAAGUCUGCUGUUAAAAAGUGGAGCUUAACUCCAUCAUGGCAGUGGAAACUGUUGGGCUUGAGUGUGGUAGGGGCAGAGGGAAUUCCCGGUGUAGCGGUGAAAUGCGUAGAUAUCGGGAAGAACACCAGUGGCGAANGCGCUCUGCUGGGCCAUCACUGACGCUCAUGGACGAAAGCCAGGGGAGCGAAAGGGAUUAGAUACCNCUGUAGUCCUGGCCGUAAACGAUGAACACUAGGUG
rnacentral:rRNA from 1 species